rnacentral:rRNA from 1 species
UCCUGAAACCGUGUGCCUACAAGUAGUUAGAGCCCGUUAAUGGGUGAUAGCGUGCCUUUUGUAGAAUGAACCGGCGAGUUACGAUUUGUUGCAAGGUUAAGCGGAAAAAGCGGAGCCGUAGCGAAAGCGAGUCUGAAUAGGGCGCAUAAGUAACAGGUCGUAGACCCGAAACCAGGUGAUCUACCCAUGUCCAGGAUGAAGGUAAGGUAAUACUUACUGGAGGUCCGAACCCACGCACGUUGAAAAGUGCGGGGAUGAGGUGUGGGUAGCGGAGAAAUUCCAAUCGAACUUGGAGAUAGCUGGUUCUCUCCGAAAUAGCUUUAGGGCUAGCCUCGAGGUAAAGAGUCAUGGAGGUAGAGCACUGUUUGGACUAGGGGCCCUUCUCGGGUUACCGAAUUCAGAUAAACUCCGAAUGCCAUGUACUUAUACUCGGGAGUCAGACUGCGAGUGAUAAGAUCCGUAGUCGAAAGGGAAACAGCCCAGACCACCAGUUAAGGUCCCCAAAUAUAUGUUAAGUGGAAAAGGAUGUGGGGUUGCUUAGACAACCAGGAUGUUGGCUUAGAAGCAGCCACCAUUGAAAGAGUGCGUAAUAGCUCACUGGUCGAGUGACCCCGCGCCGAAAAUGUACCGGGGCUAAACAUAUUACCGAAACUGUGGAUGAACCUCUUUAGAGGUUCGUGGUAGGAGAGCGUUCUAAGGGCGGUGAAGUCAGACCGGAAGGACUGGUGGAGCGCUUAGAAGUGAGAAUGCCGGUAUGAGUAGCGAAAGAAGGGUGAGAAUCCCUUCCACCGAAUAUCUAAGGUUUCCUGAGGAAGGCUCGUCCGCUCAGGGUUAGUCGGGACCUAAGCCGAGGCCGAUAGGCGUAGGCGAUGGACAACAGGUAGAGAUUCCUGUACCAGUGCUAAUUGUUUAACCGAUGGGGUGACACAGAAGGAUAGGGAAUCGCACGAAUGGAAAUGUGCGUCCAAGCAGUGAGUGUGAGAAGUAGGCAAAUCCGCUUCUCGCGAAGCAUGAGCUGUGAUGGGGAAGGAAAUUAAGUACGGAAGUUCCUGAUUUCACGCUGUCAAGAAAAGCCUCUAGGAAGAGUAGUACUGCCCGUACCGCAAACCGACACAGGUAGAUGAGGAGAGAAUCCUAAGGUGAGCGAGAGAACUCUCGUUAAGGAACUCGGCAAAAUGACCCCGUAACUUCGGGAGAAGGGGUGCUCUAUUAGGGUGCAAGCCCGAGAGAGCCGCAGUGAAUAGGCCCAGGCGACUGUUUAGCAAAAACACAGGUCUCUGCAAAACCGUAAGGUGACGUAUAGGGGCUGACGCCUGCCCGGUGCUGGAAGGUUAAGAGGAGUGCUUAGCUUCGGCGAAGGUACGAAUUGAAGCCCCAGUAAACGGCGGCCGUAACUAUAACGGUCCUAAGGUAGCGAAAUUCCUUGUCGGGUAAGUUCCGACCCGCACGAAAGGCGCAACGAUCUGGGCACUGUCUCAACGAGAGACUCGGUGAAAUUAUAGUACCUGUGAAGAUGCAGGUUACCCGCGACAGGACGGAAAGACCCCGUGGAGCUUUACUGCAACCUGAUAUGGAAUGUUUGUACCGCUUGUACAGGAUAGGUAGGAGCCGAAGAGACGUGUGCGCUAGCAUACGAGGAGGCAAUGGUGGGAUACUACCCUGGCUGUAUGACCAUUCUAACCCGCCACGCUUAGCGCGUGGGGAGACAGUGUCAGGUGGGCAGUUUGACUGGGGCGGUCGCCUCCUAAAGAG